UGCUGAUCACGAAGUCCUUGAAGGCGC
rnacentral:piRNA from 1 species